rnacentral:lncRNA from 1 species
UUACUCGGCCGUUCUGGCCAAAGCACAGUUAGUGGAGAGAAGCCUCCACACCCUCCCUCAGUCAGUAGGGAAUCACAGAGCCCCAGCUCCACCCCGCAGACCAGCACCUACUGCGUCUGUCCAAUAGAACAAGAGGCCCAGACCGGUGAUCCAAGCUCCCCCCAGGCUCUAGUGACAGGGCGUGGUAAGAUAUGUCAACAUUGCGGUAGGGAUCACGGGAACCGACCAUGCUACCGCCUCAACAACACCUGUCGCAUAUGUGGUAGUGCCCAACACUAUGCGAGAGAGUGCCCAAGGAACCAGAAUCAGGGAAGACCUCCUAUCCAGGGCUUACAACUUUACCCAGCUAAAUGUCGAAGCCGACCCGGACGUGGUACAGGGUAUGUAUAUUAUCUGUAACUAUCUUGCUAAUGUUUUGAUUGACACUGGUGCAUCACAUUCAUUUAUUUUACCUGUUUUUGCAUCCAAUUUUAAUGUAUUACCUGAUAA